GGGGGCUUUGAAAGUGUUUUUGCAAGAAGAAUUAAACUAAAUUUAAAAAGGAAAUUAAAUACGACCAAACAUAAUUGAAACAUUUAAGUAAAUGAACAGGCAGGAAGACGGAGCAGUCCUACAGAUGACCGAACGGUUCUACAUUGAGAUCAGACGGUCAAGUGAGAAAAGUCUAAAUACAGGAACAUAAAGAAGCCAAACAGAAUAGACAACAUAGUGAAUGGAAACCAUAAACCGAACAUUCUAAAAAAAAUAUGUGAACUAAUUAAAAUGCAACAAAAAAUAUAGAAACACUUUUAAUUCUAUGCAAAUGUAUAGUUAAGCUAAAACAGGAAAUACA
rnacentral:lncRNA from 1 species